ACUCCUACGGGAGGCAGCAGUGGGGAAUUUUGGACAAUGGGCGCAAGCCUGAUCCAGCAAUGCCGCGUGCGGGAAGAAGGCCUUCGGGUUGUAAACCGCUUUUGUACGGAACGAAAAGGCUCUGGCUAAUACCUGGGGCUGAUGACGGUACCGUAAGAAU
rnacentral:rRNA from 1 species